AACGGCUUUCCUGUUGGGCGAACCCUUAACAAGGAAAUAACUGGCUCCAAACAUCCAGGGGCGGCGGGGAGUUCACAGCAGAGCCAGCUCUGAACUCCGCAGCUUGAGCUCCCGGGUACAAUGCAGCCGGCCCCUGCGCAUGGAGCUGCCGGUGGCGGAGCUGCGGGGAGCUGCCCUUAUUUAUUUGUUCCUACCGCACGGGCUGAGACACGGGCUGUGUUUUAUGUUCCUCUGCAGGAAGGUGAUAAAGUGCCUGAGAGCUGCCGAAAACCCUUCGCCAAUAAAUUCAAAGGGAAAGGCCAUUUCUCAUGCCUUGGAAGGGGAGCUGAGGGAUGCUGGAAGGCAGAGAAGACUGAAACGGCGCGUCGCAUGGCAGCGUGGCAGGAGGCACAGGAGCAAAUUUUCUGGAGAAGCACCUGGAUGCCAGAGGAGGCCAGAGAAAUGCUUUGUGUCUUCCGCUGCAACCGCAACCAGCUCCAAAAAUAAUCUGCUUUGGUGUCUGGUGGGAAUAUUUGGAGCAUCAGGGCUUGGUCUGCGGCUUCUCAUAGAAAUCAGCAGGAAUUUUGUCGCAUCCUUCUCUGGCCCAGCUCUGCUCCCGUGGCUGGCAGCCCCUGCUAAGGAAAAGCAGGGUUUGCUGCGGAAGCUCCUGUAUGUGGGUGCCCUGAAAUUCACCCACGUGCUGCAAGAUUUGAAAAACAUACUCCACAAACCAGUGUGCUGUUCAAGAAAUGGUGGUAUGGGCAAUUUUUCAAUCCUCCAGCGCAGUUUGGAGCAUGGGCUGCAGCGAAAGUUCCAGGCAGGUGAGGUGGCUGAGCUGGUGGAGAUCUCACAAGGUGCUGCUGGGCACUGCUGCCGCAGCCAACGCUGUGAGCAGCCGAUGACUCAGGUC
rnacentral:lncRNA from 1 species